UGGCUGUUAUGGCUGUUUACUACAGAUUCUCUUGGCAAAUGGAGGGAGGUGAGAUCUCAAUGUUGGAGAUGUUUGGUACAUUUGCUCUCUCUGUUGGUGCUGCUGUUGGUAUGGAGUUUUGGGCAAGAUGGGCUCAUAG